AGAGUUUGAUUCUGGCUCAGAACGAACGCUGGCGGCGUGGAUAAGACAUGCAAGUCGAACGAGAGAAUUGCUAGCUUGCUAAUAAUUCUCUAGUGGCGCACGGGUGAGUAACACGUGAGUAACCUGCCCCCGAGAGCGGGAUAGCCCUGGGAAACUGGGAUUAAUACCGCAUAGUAUCGAAAGAUUAAAGCAGCAAUGCGCUUGGGGAUGGGCUCGCGGCCUAUUAGUUAGUUGGUGAGGUAACGGCUCACCAAGGCGAUGACGGGUAGCCGGUCUGAGAGGAUGUCCGGCCACACUGGAACUGAGACACGGUCCAGACACCUACGGGUGGCAGCAGUCGAGAAUCAUUCACAAUGGGGGAAACCCUGAUGGUGCGACGCCGCGUGGGGGAAUGAAGGUCUUCGGAUUGUAAACCCCUGUCAUGUGGGAGCAAAUUAAAAAGAUAGUACCACAAGAGGAAGAGACGGCUAACUCUGUGCCAGCAGCCGCGGUAAUACAGAGGUCUCAAGCGUUGUUCGGAAUCACUGGGCGUAAAGCGUGCGUAGGCUGUUUCGUAAGUCGUGUGUGAAAGGCGCGGGCUCAACCCGCGGACGGCACAUGAUACUGCGAGACUAGAGUAAUGGAGGGGGAACCGGAAUUCUCGGUGUAGCAGUGAAAUGCGUAGAUAUCGAGAGGAACACUCGUGGCGAAGGCGGGUUCCUGGACAUUAACUGACGCUGAGGCACGAAGGCCAGGGGAGCGAAAGGGAUUAGAUACCCCCGUAGUCCUGGCAGUAAACGGUGCACGCUUGGUGUGCGGGGAAUCGACCCCCUGCGUGCCGGAGCUAACGCGUUAAGCGUGCCGCCUGGGGAGUACGGUCGCAAGAUUAAAACUCAAAGAAAUUGACGGGGACCCGCACAAGCGGUGGAGUAUGUGGCUUAAUUCGAUGCAACGCGAAGAACCUUACCUGGGCUUGACAUGUAAUGAACAACAUGUGAAAGCAUGCGACUCUUCGGAGGCGUUACACAGGUGCUGCAUGGCCGUCGUCAGCUCGUGUCGUGAGAUGUUUGGUUAAGUCCAGCAACGAGCGCAACCCCUGUUGCCAGUUACCAGCACGUGAAGGUGGGGACUCUGGCGAGACUGCCCAGAUCAACUGGGAGGAAGGUGGGGACGACGUCAGGUCAGUAUGGCCCUUAUGCCCAGGGCUGCACACGUACUACAAUGCCCAGUACAGAGGGGGCCGAAGCCGCGAGGCGGAGGAAAUCCUGAAAACUGGGCCCAGUUCGGACUGUAGGCUGCAACCCGCCUACACGAAGCCGGAAUCGCUAGUAAUGGCGCAUCAGCUACGGCGCCGUGAAUAAAAUCCCGGGUCUUGCACA
rnacentral:rRNA from 1 species